UGGAGGACAUGGUUGGAUAGAAGCUGCCAGCAGGACACAAUUUAAGAAAGUAGCACUUGGUUUGGAUUAUGUCUUGAGAUGGUUGAUAUAAGGAAGAUGUGCCAUGCUCCUGUGUGCAUGUCAAGAUCUUACCAAGGCAUCAAAGCACUUCUGGUGGGGGUAAAGUUGGAGGCCCCGAACUACAACCUUCAUACUCUUGAUAACAAAGCAGUUUAGACUGUAGUGCAGGCCUUCUCUGCUACAUGGAUGGAAGACAAGAUGCAGAACCUUUAGAGGCAACACUCAGAACUUCUGGGAACUACCUCACAGAAAUAAGCAAAUGUUGGCUUUGUGGUUCCCUGCUAAGGCCAACAGUCACACCAUCUGCACCCCCGAUUCACUGUGUCAAGGUCCACUGAAAUAUAUAGAAGCAUUAUCAAGA